ACAUCGAUACCUUAGUGACACAACUCACGAUUCAUCGUCAAAAACGGAAUAAGUUUUUUGGGUUGUGUCAAACCGAAGUGGGGGAUGUGUUUAAAAUUGAAUUUGA
rnacentral:rRNA from 1 species